rnacentral:rRNA from 1 species
GAGUCAUUGGGACUAACGAUAAACCUAAAGGCGCAAUGAAAGUGAAGGUCCGCCUUGCGCGGACCUAGGGAGGAUGGGACCGGCCGCGGUCGGACCCCGCACUCCCGGGGCGUCUCGUUCUCAUCGCGAGAUGAGGCGCACCCAGAGCGUACACGCUGGGACCCGAAAGAUGGUGAACUAUGCCUGGUCAGGACGAAGUCAGGGGAAACCCUGAUGGAGGUCCGUAGCGAUUCUGACGUGCAAAUCGAUCGUCGGAA